rnacentral:pre_miRNA from 1 species
UCUUACGGACGUGCAAAGAAAAUGGUUCCUUAAGAUAGAAUCUGCUCCUGGUGAAGAUGCUGAGAA